UACGAAGGGGGCUAGCGUUGCUCGGAAUCACUGGGCGUAAAGCGCACGUAGGCGGCUUCUUAAGUCAGGGGUGAAAUCCUGGAGCUCAACUCCAGAACUGCCUUUGAUACUGGGAAGCUUGAGUUCGGGAGAGGUGAGUGGAACUGCGAGUGUAGAGGUGAAAUUCGUAGAUAUUCGCAAGAACACCAGUGGCGAAGGCGGCUCACUGGCCCGAUACUGACGCUGAGGUGCGAAAGCGUGGGGAGCGAACAGG
rnacentral:rRNA from 1 species